rnacentral:rRNA from 1 species
UACGAAGGGGGCUAGCGUUGUUCGGAUUUACUGGGCGUAAAGCGCACGUAGGCGGCUUGGUCAGUUAGGGGUGAAAUCCCAGAGCUCAACUCUGGAACUGCCUUUAAUACUGCCAGUCUCGAGUCCGGAAGAGGUAAGUGGAACUCCUAGUGUAGAGGUGGAAUUCGUAGAUAUUAGGAAGAACACCAGUGGCGAAGGCGGCUUACUGGUCCGGUACUGACGCUGAGGUGCGAAAGCGUGGGGAGCAAACAGG